rnacentral:rRNA from 1 species
GUCCACGCCGUAAACGAUGCAUACUAGUCUUAUGGGGUAUAGACCCCCUGUGAGACGUAGCUAACGCGUUAAGUAUGCCGCCUGGGAAGUACGAUCGCAAGAUUAAAACUCAAAGGAAUUGACGGGGACCCGCACAAGCGGAGGAUGAUGUGGUUUAAUAUGACGGUACGCGUAGAACCUUACCAAGGCUUGACAUCCUGAGAAUCCGCCGGAAACGGUGGAGUGCCUUCGGGAACUCAGUGACAGGUGCUGCAUGGCCGUCGU